UGUCUGGUGGUGGAAAGUUUUUUCGGUUGGGGAUGGGCUCGCGGCCUUCAGUUUGUGGUGGUGAGGUAAUGGCUCCCAAGACGACGACGGGUAGCCGGCUGAGAGGGNNNACCGGCCCCACUGGGACUGAGACACGGCCCAGACUCCUACGGGAGGCAGCAGUGGGGAAUAUUGCACAAUGGGGGAAACCCUGAUGCAGCGACGCAGCGUGCGGGAUGACGGCCUUCGGGUUGUAAACCGCUUUCAGCAGGGAAGAAGCCUCACGGUGACGGUACCUGCAGAAGAAGUACCGGCUAACUACGUGCCAGCAGCCGCGGUAAUACGUAGGGUACGAGCGUUGUCCGGAAUUAUUGGGCGUAAAGAGCUCGUAGGUGGUUGGUCACGUCUGCUGUGGAAACGCAACGCUUAACGUUGCGCGUGCAGUGGGUACGGGCUGACUAGAGUGCAGUAGGGGAGUCUGGAAUUCCUGGUGUAGCGGUGAAAUGCGCAGAUAUCAGGAGGAACACCGGUGGCGAAGGCGGGACUCUGGGCUGUAACUGACACUGAGGAGCGAAAGCAUGGGGAGCGAACAGGAUUAGAUACCCUGGUAGUCCAUGCCGUAAACGUUGGGCACUAGGUGUGGGGGGCAUUCCACGUUCUCCGCGCCGUAGCUAACGCAUUAAGUGCCCCGCCUGGGGAGUACGGUCGCAAGGCUAAAACUCAAAGGAAUUGACGGGGGCCCGCACAAGCGGCGGAGCAUGCGGAUUAAUUCGAUGCAACGCGAAGAACCUUACCAAGGCUUGACAUACACCAGACCGUCCUGGAAACAGGUCCUCUUCUUUGAAGCUGGUGUACAGGUGGUGCAUGGUUGUCGUCAGCUCGUGUCGUGAGAUGUUGGGUUAAGUCCCGCAACGAGCGCAACCCUCGUUCUAUGUUGCCAGCNACGUGAUGGUGGGAACUCAUAGGAGACUGCCGGGGUCAACUCGGAGGAAGGUGGGGAUGACGUCAAAUCAUCAUGCCCUUUAUGUCUUGGGCUUCACGCAUGCUACAAUGGCUGGUACAGAGAGAGGCGAACCCGUGAGGGCAAGCGAAUCCCUUAAAGCCAGUCUCAGUUCGGAUCGUAGUCUGCAAUUCGACUACGUGAAGUCGGAGUCGCUA
rnacentral:rRNA from 1 species